UGACAAUCCUUUAAAAUUAUUUUAUAAAGGUAAUGAAUCUUUCAGGGAAAGCGGUGAAAAUCCGCCACAGCCCCGCUACUGUAAGCGGCUACGAAAGCUUUUUUGAGCCACCCGAAAGGGGAAGGUAAAGCCGGUAGGUCUGAAGCCGCAAAGUCAGGAGACCUGACAGGUUCAAGUCCCUUAG
rnacentral:ncRNA from 2 species